rnacentral:lncRNA from 1 species
UUUUUUUUUUUUUUAUUUUUAUUGCUUCCCACACUGACAAUGUUCACUUCAUUAAAAACAUGUAAUCCCUGAGCUGUGAUCAAGACAUAAUUGCACUUUUUUGGGGUAUUAUAAGAACUGAGAUGUUUUUUCUUACUUUAUCACUGAAACCCCUCUUAUUCUUCCAUGACUUUGAGUAAUCCCCCCAACCUGCAAGGGGAUUCCAGGCUGGAACUCUGGCACCAGGGCUCAGUUUCCAUGGAUUUAAAUAGUUGUACUCCCAGAAAACAAUAAAAUAUUGCUUUUUGCCCCCUCAGUUCCCUUCCAGCACUCACAGAAGUGCAGAAUGGUUUGGGUUGGGAGGGAUUUUAGGGAUCAUCCACAGGCAGGAUAAUCCAGCUCCAGAUCCAGCCUGGCCUUGGACACUGCCAGGGAUCCAGGGGCAGCCACAGCUGCUCUGGAUAAAGAACAAAUUGUGGAUGUGGGGAUAAGUUUGAUUUAAUUUCACAUAAAUAGAUUUAAUUGUUGCCUUUGGAGCAUCCAGAGUGAAGAUGGAAUUUACUGUAUGGGAAUUUUGAUACAUAAUUAAGAAAUCCUACAGAACUGCCAGCCCCAGUAUUAAUAACUCAUGGUAGAGUUGAAGAAACAUGGAACAUGAGUGUGCAGGUAAAUUAAUUCCAGUUUUUUGAUGUAUAAAGCAAACUUUAUCAUUACCUUGACUUCCAGUGGAGUUCCUGCAGGAAGAGUUGGUCCAGGCAAACAAUCCCAGCCAGUUUCUUCUGAAAGGGAACAGUUGUCUGAAAUGAGAUCUGAUGAAACUCUAUCUGAAAUUAAUUCCAAUUACACUUCAGACAGUGGGGCGGGAGAUUCUGCAGCAGCAAACCUUCCCAAAUAAUUGCUGAAGAGACAUCCAGAAGUUUCUAGAGUGCCAAAUCUGCUCACUCCUUUUUCUCCCUCCUUUCCACAUGGAUGCUAUCCUGUUUUGCUGAGUCUUUAAAUAAGACCAGAAUGUGUCUGGAGAACAAUAAAAAAAAAAACAAAGAAAAAGAGAUGCUGUUCCUGCAGCACGAAGCGGGAGCGAUUCCAAGCAGAAACUGUUUCUAUUUUGAGGUUUUCCUCUCUUCCCCUUCCCAGUGGUGCCUGUUUGGGGUUGUUGGAGCAUGGAAAUAACAAAAUGGGAGAGUGCUUUGUCCUUGGCCUCUCAGUCCUGAUCCCCGGGGGAUCCUGCAGCUCCAGGAGAGGCUGAAACAGCCCGAACUGGGCUGGGCAGGGAAACUGAGAUCAGAGCUGGAGCUUUCCCUGCUGCCCACCCUGCCCGGGGCGCUGCUGCUCCAGGAGAUUCACCCCUGA